rnacentral:rRNA from 1 species
UUAUUUUUUAAUAAUUAAUUUUUAUAUAAUUUUUAUAUAGUUAAUAUUUUAGUUAUUUAUAGGAAUAAAUAUUAUAAUAUAAUAAUAUUUUAAUAAUGAUAAAAUAAGUAUUUUAUAUAUAUAAAAUAUAGUAACUCGGCAAAUAUUAUUUUCGCCUGUUUAACAAAAACAUGGUCUUUUGUUUAUAUAAAAGAUCUAACCUGCCCUAUGAUUUAUUUAAAUGGCUGCAGUAUUUUGACUGUACAAAGGUAGCAUAAUCAUUUGUCUUUUAAUUUAAGGCUUGUAUGAAUGGUUGGAUGAAAAAUAUACUUUCUUUAUUUUAUAUAAAAAAUUUAAUUUUCUAGUCAAAAAGCUAGGAUUUUUUUAUAGGACGAGAAGACCCUAUAGAACUUUAUUUUCUUUUUUUAUAAACUUUAUAGAUAAAUAUAAGUUUAUAUAUUUUUGUUAAUUUUGUUGGGGUGAUUGAAAAAAUUUUUUAACUUUUUCUAUUUUUUACAUUUAUAUAUGUUUUUUUGAUCCUUUAUUAUGGAAUAAAAGAUUAAGUUACCUUAGGGAUAACAGCGUUAUUUUUUUGGAGAGUUCUUAUCGAUAAAAAAGUUUGCGACCUCGAUGUUGG